UACGGAGGAUCCAAGCGUUAUCCGGAAUCAUUGGGUUUAAAGGGUCCGUAGGCGGCUUUAUAAGUCAGUGGUGAAAGCCCAUCGCUUAACGAUGGAACGGCCAUUGAUACUGUAGAGCUUGAAUUACUUGGAAGUAACUAGAAUAUGUAGUGUAGCGGUGAAAUGCUUAGAUAUUACAUGGAAUACCAGAGGCGAAGGCAGGUUACUGCAAGGGGAUUGACGCUGAGGGACGAAAGCGUGGGGAGCGAACAGG
rnacentral:rRNA from 1 species